UUCUUUCAUGCUUCUCAAAGUGAUUCAUUUGAUCUGCAACUAAAACCUUAGAUCUAUCUAUAUUUUAAUUUUUGGCAGACUUUGGUAUCUAUGUACCCGAUAGCUGGGUAUCAAGAAUCUGGAGAAUCCAUCACCUAGCGAAGCCACUGUUGUCUAAAUAGCACAACAUAGGGCUGCUUUGAUGACACUGCCCGUACUGAUCGAUAAUCCAGCGCCUAGGGGAGCCGGAGGGUGCCAAGCGGCCAUCGGCAGACGCGGCCGUAGAUGGCAGGGAGGAAGGGGAGAGGGCGAGGCCAUUGCCACUCGAUGAAUCGUUGGUGGAGAAUUGGUUGGGCCACAGCCACGACAAUUUCAAGGUGCGGCUUUUAUUUGGUCUUAAAAUUUAUAGUGCUCUGGAGAUUUGCGGAUUUUCUUUUGUCUAAAAAUUUAUAGUACUCCGGAGAUUUGCCUCAGGGAUUUAUAUAUGAGAAAUAGUUGCAUAUGGAUAAAAUAGAUGGGAAGAACCAGAGUGACCACAAGAUGAGAAAGGGUAAUAAAUAUGUAGGCAUUGACGCCAUGAACGUGCCGACCUAGGAUGUGCUGGUGAUGGUGCCGGCCAUGGCCUUCUAUUUGCCCAAAGAGCUGUCGGCCGCCCUUCCGGUGCACCGGUUUGAGCAGCUCGACGUGGCACGGAAUAUCACCUCCAUCGUGCUAGCAUCCCACGCUGCGCAUCCCACAUCGGGCGGCUCAAGGCUGAGGCCGGGAGGAUGCGCACGACUCGCCUAGAGCACCACUGUUGUUGGGCACCUCCGCAAGCGCGGACCCGCUCGCCAUCGACCGCCUCAGCCGCACCAACGACGAGAAAGUGACAGCCUUUCCGAGAAGACCAGAAAGAUAAUUAGGGGCAUCAAUGUUGACAUUAUGUAUAUGCGACUCUACCUUACCAUUUCAGCACUAUCCCAGAGGCUGCCCAACCGGAUCUGGCAGUUAGGCAGACUAGACCAAAGAGAUGUGAUCUUGGUGCCCCCGUGGUUGAUUGGCUAGGGCGCGAGGGCUUGUGUUGUGGUUGGACCAUUGGUUGGCGGUGCUGACGUGUGGAGAUGUGCGUUUGUUGCUGGUCGCUAUGUACGGCGAGAUGAUACAUGAACAUAGUGAGAGAGCCUGUGAGGGCAAGAGAGUGAUGAAUUUGUGUGUGCCAUAUACUUAUUUAUUGGAAAAUGUGGCGCUUACUUUUUUGGAGCUGCAGUACUUUUGUGUGGCUAAUGACGGUGAUGGUGAGAGUAUAUAAAUACAUGAUGAAUAAAGUGUCAAUUAUUUUUGCCUUC